rnacentral:rRNA from 1 species
AUACGGAAGGUCCGGGCGUUAUCCGGAUUUAUUGGGUUUAAAGGGAGCGCAGGCGGAGAUGCAAGCGUGACGUCAAAUUUCGGGGCUCAACCCCGUCUCGCGUCGCGAACUGCGUCCCUUGGUUGCGGGAAGGGGAGGCGGAACUCGCGGUGUAGCGGUGAAAUGCAUAGAUAUCACGAAGAACUCCGAUCGCGAAGGCAGCCUUCCGGCCCGUCAACGACGCUCAUGCUCGAAGGUGCGGGUAUCAAACAGGAUUAGAUACCCUGGUAGUCCGCACAGUAAACGAUGGACACCCGCGGUUUGGCCUAUAUGGCUGAGCCGCCAAGCGAAAGCGUUAAGUGUCCCACCUGGGGAGUACGCCGGCAACGGUGUAACUCAAAUGAAUUGACGGGG